AGAGAAGUCUGAGGAGUGUGUCUGGCGUUCCUCAAGGAGGCCUGAGGCCUAGUCCAGCAACCACGCGUCUACUGCAAGUUAACCCCUGAACCGUGGGUAAAAGUCAAAGCCUGACGGUCUGUUCCCUUAGGACAAGGGAUGCAACUUCAAGUGAUAUUGGACCCUUAAAGGAGGAUUCCAGCCAAAAUAACUUAUCCCCUACCCACAGGAUAAGGAAUAAGUAGCUGAUCACAGGGGGUCUGACCACUGGGACCAUCCGCGAUCUCCGGAACUGGAUCCUGAUUCUCUCAGUGAGGAGCAGAUGUCAUCUACAGCAAAAGGGGACUACCUGUCUACUCGGGGUUUUACCUCGCAAAUGGGGGAUCUACCUGCAUAAAUGUGGACUAGCUGCCUAAUGGAGGACCUUCCUAACUGCUGUAGAGGACAUACUGGAUGGGGAACCUGUCUUCUUUGUGCCCUGGGGCCCAUGGAAUUCUAGUUAUACCCCUGGAUGGAUAGAUGGAUAGAUAGAUAGAUGUGAGAUAGAUGGUAGGUAGAUAGAUAGAUAGAU